rnacentral:rRNA from 1 species
AUUGAACGCUGGCGGCAGGCCUAACACAUGCAAGUCGAACGGUAACAGGAAACAGCUUGCUGUUUCGCUGACGAGUGGCGGACGGGUGAGUAAUGUCUGGGAAACUGCCUGAUGGAGGGGGAUAACUACUGGAAACGGUAGCUAAUACCGCAUAACGUCGCAAGACCAAAGAGGGGGACCUUCGGGCCUCUUGCCAUCGGAUGUGCCCAGAUGGGAUUAGCUAGUAGGUGGGGUAACGGCUCACCUAGGCGACGAUCCCUAGCUGGUCUGAGAGGAUGACCAGCCACACUGGAACUGAGAUACGGUCCAGACUCCUACGGGAGGCAGCAGUGGGGAAUAUUGCACAAUGGGCGCAAGCCUGAUGCAGCCAUGCCGCGUGUAUGAAGAAGGCCUUCGGGUUGUAAAGUACUUUCAGCGGGGAGGAAGGGAGUAAAGUUAAUACCUUUACUCAUUGACGUUACCCGCAGAAGAAGCACCGGCUAACUCCGUG